GUUCCGUAGGUGAACCUGCGGAAGGAUCAUUAGUGAAUUUUAGGGCGUCUACUUGUAGAGCCUGACCUCCACUUUCUAACUCUGUGCACUUAUUUGGCGGAAAAAGGGAAUAGUGACUGUUUAACGACGAUUGCGAAUUCCUUAUUUCUGCGGCUUACUUUAAACGCUAGUCAAAGUAUGUAACGAAAUAUCGAAAUACAAAAAAACUUUCAACAACGGAUCUCUUGGCUCUC
rnacentral:misc_RNA from 1 species